CUGAGGUAAGGCAGAGCUCCCUUCCCAAGUCAUGGGAGAUGUUUCCAUUUCUUUCCCUCCUUUCUCAGGGCUUCUUUUGAAGUUUUUCCACUGAAUCCCUACAAGAAGAGAGAGGAAAAUUACUUGUAGCCGCUAAGUGGUAUUUUAGCCGUGCAGAUGAGUGAUCCUGAUUUUGCUGAGUUCAGAAGACCCCAAAGAAUUCAAGGCUUGUUCAUUUCAGGAACCCAGUUCAGAGAUCAGGUUAUCAUCAUUUUUUUUCCUAGUAGGUCACUCUGCAUAUGAUCCCUUUGCAGAAGGACACUCAACAAGCAGGACCAGGGUGGGGUGGGGAGGAAGCAAGAGGCUCUUUUGGGCUGAGCCUCAAGCUCGGAGUGGCUUCAAAUUUAAAGGUCUGCAAAGUUGUUGAACUUUAAACUGUUCAAAUUAUGUUUACUUCUCUCCCCCUUCCUCUCUCUUGCUCUUUUUUGGUGCCGUAUUUUUGUGCACACCUGUUAUGACGUCCCAUUUUAUUAUGGGCAGGAGCUGCCAAUGCUUCUUUCCCUCAGGAUUUAUUUUGUAAGUUUGCCAUUUUUGGGGCAUUGCCAAUUGUAGAGCGAUAUCUUCUUGGACAUGGAUGGUGUCAGUGCAUUUAUAGAAAGAUCCAUCCUGCAGUCGGGACUUUUCUCUUAGGAGAUACAGAUCAGGAAGACCUGCUCAGGCCCGCCAGUAUCUUGCGCUCAUCCCGUUCUUGAAUUUCUCCCCAUGUUUAGUGGUUGGUUCUGCAGGGUUAACCGAACGUAUAUCAAUUCUAUUCAAAUUGUACUCUGCAGUCUAUGCUGUGUUCCCUUCUUGUGAGUAAACUAACAAAAAGCUUCUUAAA